rnacentral:rRNA from 1 species
GACGAACGCUGGCGGCGUGCCUAAUACAUGCAAGUCGAGCGGACGAAUCGAAAGCUUGCUUUUGAUUCGUUAGCGGCGGACGGGUGAGUAACACGUGGGCAACCUGCCCUGUAGACGGGGAUAACACCGAGAAAUCGGUGCUAAUACCGGAUAACACGAAAUGUCGCAUGACGUUUCGUUGAAAGACGGCGCAAGCUGCCGCUACAGGAUGGGCCCGCGGCGCAUUAGCUAGUUGGUGAGGUAACGGCUCACCAAGGCGACGAUACGUAGCCGACCUGAGAGGGUGAUCGGCCACACUGGGACUGAGACACGGCCCAGACUCCUACGGGAGGCAGCAGUAGGGAAUCUUCCGCAAUGGACGAAAGUCUGACGGAGCAACGCCGCGUGAGCGAAGAAGGCCUUCGGGUCGUAAAGCUCUGUUGUUAGGGAAGAACAAGUAACGCAGUAACUGGCGUUACCGUGACGGUACCUAACGAGAAAGCCACGGCUAACUACGUG